GAUGAACGCUGGCGGCGUGCCUAAUACAUGCAAGUCGAGCGAACAGACGAGGAGCUUGCUCCUCUGACGUUAGCGGCGGACGGGUGAGUAACACGUGGAUAACCUACCUAUAAGACUGGGAUAACUUCGGGAAACCGGAGCUAAUACCGGAUAAUAUAUUGAACCGCAUGGUUCAAUAGUGAAAGACGGUUUUGCUGUCACUUAUAGAUGGAUCCGCGCCGCAUUAGCUAGUUGGUAAGGUAACGGCUUACCAAGGCAACGAUGCGUAGCCGACCUGAGAGGGUGAUCGGACACACUGGAACUGAGACACGGUCCAGACGCCUACGGGAGGCAGCAGUAGGGAAUCUUGCGCAAUGGGCGAAAGCAUGACGGAGCAACGCCGCGUGAGUGAUGAAGGUCGUCGGAUCGUAAAACUCUGUUAUUAGGGAAGAACAAAUGUGUAAGUAACUAUGCACGUCUUGACGGUACCUAAUCAGAAAGCCACGGCUAACUACGUG
rnacentral:rRNA from 1 species